GUAGACAUAGUUUAACAAAAUUUCAGACUGUGGCUCUGAGGAUAGGGGCUAGUCUCCUCUUGUUUACC
rnacentral:tRNA from 1 species